rnacentral:tRNA from 1 species
GCCUGGGUGGCUCAGUGGUUGAGCAUCUGCCUUAGACUCAGGUCGUGAUCCCAAGGUUAUGGGAUCGAGUUCUGCCUCAGGCU